AGCGAACGCUGGCGGCAGGCUUAACACAUGCACGUCGAGCGGGCGUAGCAAUACGUCAGCGGCAGACGGGUGAGUAACGCGUGGGAACGUACCUUUUGGUUCGGAACAACACAGGGAAACUUGUGCUAAUACCGGAUAAGCCCUUACGGGGAAAGAUUUAUCGCCGAAAGAUCGGCCCGCGUCUGAUUAGCUAGUUGGUAGGGUAAUGGCCUACCAAGGCGACGAUCAGUAGCUGGUCUGAGAGGAUGAUCAGCCACAUUGGGACUGAGACACGGCCCAAACUCCUACGGGAGGCAGCAGUGGGGAAUAUUGGACAAUGGGGGCAACCCUGAUCCAGCCAUGCCGCGUGAGUGAUGAAGGCCCUAGGGUUGUAAAGCUCUUUUGUGCGGGAAGAUAAUGACGGUACCGCAAGAAUAAGCCCCGGCUAACUUCGUGCCAGCAGCCGCAGUAA
rnacentral:rRNA from 1 species